AAGGAUUGGAUUUAAUUUGUGUGUGUGCGUAUUCUUUUACAUAAAAAAAUGCCACGUAUUAUGAUAAAAGGUGGUGUCUGGAGAAACACUGAGGAUGAAAUUCUCAAGGCGGCUGUGAUGAAAUAUGG
rnacentral:sRNA from 1 species